rnacentral:lncRNA from 1 species
GAACCCGGAGUCUCAAGUGAUCUUCUCACUUCAGCCUUCUCGGUAGCUGGGACUACAGGAAGGAAGGAAUUGCCAUGAACAAAGCGUAUUGUGCCUCUGAGGAAUUGUCAGCUUCAAGUAUGUGCCAAAACAAGGUGCAGCAAAUCACCAUGGCACACGUUUCCAAGUAACAAAGCUGCACACCCUGGACACGUACCCCGAAAUUAAAAAUAAAUAUUAAAAAUGAUACUGUAUUAAUUGACUAGUUAUGUUUGAAAAUGUUUUCUCCUGAUCUGUAUAUUGUGUUUUUAGUUAUGGUAUUUUUUGCUAUGCAAAAUUUAUAAUUUAGUAUAGUCAAAUUUAUUCAUCAUUUUUCCUUAAUAAUUUCUGCUUGUUGAAUCUUGUUUAAGAAAUGUUUCUAUACCUCAAGGCUAUGUCAGAUGUUAAUUACAGUGUGGGGUAUAUGUAUGCUUUUUGUACUAUCUUUGUAAUUUUUCUGUAAAUCCAAAACUGUUUAAAAUUUUUUUAAAAGUUUAUUUUUAAAAAAAGUGUAUUGUCCGACGAAUAAAAAAUGCAAGUGAAUAUAUGAAAAAGAAAAAUCAACACAUAACAAAGGACAAAUUCUAAUCAUGACAAAUACUACUGAAAAAAAAUUCUA